ensembl:lncRNA
UGGUGACCUGGAGGCAGGAGUGGGAGCACACGUGACAAGAUUUAAGUCAAAACAGUGACUCGGCAACUCAAGAACAUUUACUUUCUUCUUGCAUCCCUUGGCAAGACGGAGCUGCUCUUCUUCCUUUGGAAAGACUGCCACUCCAAGACUUCUCAAUCACGGCGGACAACUACACGGUGUACCCAUACCAGAUUGCAAAGAACCUUAGUGUGACCCUGGACACCACCCUGUAAUUCUCUGCAAACAUCAGUGACUAGCUCCUGCAGGCUAAUGCUCUUCAACAUCCGUAGAGUAUGACCUUAUCUUACACAGGAAGCGGCGCAGGUCCUUUUCAUAAACUUGUCAUCUCCCAUCUGGACUAAUGCAACUCACUGUUGACUGGGAUCUCUGAUUGUGCUAUCAAACUGCUGCAACUUAUCCAGAACGCUGCAGCCCGCCUGGUGUUCAACCUUCCCAUGUUCUCCUACAGUAUGUCACCCUGCUCCUCCGCACACUCCACUGGCUUCUAGUCGAAACUCUCAUCCACUAUGGAGCAGCAAGAGGAACUAACCCUUCCUACCUUCAAGCUAUGCUCAAACCCUACCCAAGUACUCCGUUCUGCCACCUCUGGUCUUUUGGCCCUCCUACUUCAGGGCAGCUCCCGCUCAGCCCAAUCAAAGCUCUUCUCUGUCCUGGUAACCCCCCCCCAAGUUUGCUAAAAGAUACUUUGAGGAAACAUGUAUUAACUAUGACUGAUAUGUAGUUGUCCCACCUAGCUAUUUUAAGAUGAAUAUACUAACUAUAUGUCACUCUGGAUGAGUCAAUUACAUGUAAUUCAUCACCUGGGUGUUUUGGGAAUUGUUGUAUUCAGGGAUAGGUGAGUCAAAGUUGAGAUCACACCACAACAUAAAGGUUCAACACAAUGCAUUGGAAAAUUGUUCCUAAUAAAAAGGUGAAAAGAGCUGUCAGGGAGGAAGAAGACAACUUAUGUCUGAUUGGACAAGAUCAUUUGAUUAGGGAAGCUGAUUGAAAUGGAACACUUACUAUACUAAAGCAAUAAGGCCUGAGGGGGUGUGGUAUAUGGCCAAUAUACCACAGGUAAGGGCUGUUCUUAUGCACGAAGAGUACCUGGAUAUAGUCCUUAGCCAUGGUAUAUUGGAAAUAUACUGCAAACCCCCAAGGUGCCUUAUUGCUAUUAUAAACUGUUGACUAACGUAAUUAGAGAAGAAAAAAGACAUGUUUUGUCAUUCCGUUGGUAUACGGUCUGAUGUACGACAGCUUUCAGCCAAUCAGCAUUCAGGGCUCGAACCACCCCGUUUAUGAAUGCUGAAUAAGAGCAAGUACAGCAAAUGUACAGUAUGUGGUGAAUAAUGGCACACUCACUUACACGGUGUGACUCACUCUAUUGCCAGUACAUUUUCCUUGCUGUUAAUUCUACUACUUAAGUGUUGACUUUUACUUUCCAAAGUGGGCGUGGAAGGAGAGGGGACGGGAGUUCUAGAUGGGCGGGAUGGUGGAGACCUGCGCUAUCCACACAAGCAGGGACAAGAGGCAGCUCCAGCGUGCAGAGUGGGAGUGGUGAAAUCGGCCUGGAGGACGAUGUGACCACAAAAUGCACCCUGUGUCCCCAACCAUCAAGGUGGAAGACUCCAGAGAUUCAAGAGCAGCGUCUUGAAAAAGCUUGCCACCCGAAGCUUCAAUGUAUAAUUUGAAGUAGAACUUGCGUCUGUAGGACAGUAAGUUAUCCCUAAUUCUUGCAAACACAACAUGCCAAACAAAACAGGAUGUUAGGUUGGUCAGGUUGAAAUACUGGUGGCAGCUGUGAUUAAGGAGGAUGAGGACAGGUAUUGAGGCUGAUUGGCAGUGAGUUACAGCUGGUGGUAGUUGAGUUGUUAAACAGGGGGCAAGUUCGUUUUGCAUCGCACAGGAGCUGCAUUUGUCAACUACACUGAACAAAAAUAUAAAUGUAAAGUGUUGGUCCCAUGUUUCAUGAGCUGAAAUAAAAUAUCCCAGAAAUGUUCUAAAAAGCUUAUUUGUGUUCACAUAUUUGUUUAUAUCCCUG